GAUGAAGAACGCAGCGAAAUGCGAUAAGUAAUGUGAAUUGCAGAGUUCAGUGAAUCAUCGAAUCUUUGAACGCACAUUGCGCCCCCUGGUAUUCCGGGGGGCAUGCCUGUCCGAGCGUCAUUGCUGCCCUCAAGCACGGCUUGUGUGUUGGGCCCCGUCCUCCGAUUCCGGGGGACGGGCCCGAAAGGCAGCGGCGGCACCGCGUCCGGUCCUCGAGCGUAUGGGGCUUUGUCACCCGCUCUGUAGGCCCGGCCGGCGCUUGCCGAUCAACCCAAAUUUUUAUCCAGGUUGACCUCGGAUCAGGUAGGGAUACCCGCUGAACUUAAGCAUAUCAAUAAGCGGAGGA
rnacentral:misc_RNA from 1 species